GACGGUACACCAAGAAUAAGAGACGGCUAACUACGUGCCAGCAGCCGCGGUAAUACGUAGGUCUCAAGCGUUAUCCGGAUUUACUGGGCGUAAAGUAUCCGUAGCCUGAUAUGUAAGUCUGUUUUCAAAUCCCACGACUCAAUCGUGGAAAGGGAAUGGAUACUGCAUAUCUAGAAGUUAUUGGGGGUUAGUGGAAUUUCCGGUGGAGCGGUGAAAUGCGUUGAUAUCGGAAAGAACGCCGAAAGCGAAAGCAGCUAACUAUGAUUAACUUGACGGUGAGGGAUGAAAGUUUGGGUAGCAAACGGGAUUAGAUACCCCGGUAGUCCAAACUGUAAAUUAUGCUUGCUAGGUGUUUCGAUCCUUGUGGUCGGAGUGCCGUAAUCUAACGAGUUAAGCAAGUCGCCUGGGUAGUAUAUUCGCAAGAAUGAAACUCAAAGGGGUAGGCGGGGGAACACACAAGCAGUGGAUUAUCUAGAUUAAUUGGAUAAUAAGCCAAGAAUCUUACCUAGAAUUGACAUGCAUUGUGUCUCAUAUGAAAGUAUGAUAUUUGUAGCGAUACAGAGCUUUGCACAGGUGGUGCAUGGUUGUUGUCAGCUGGCGCCCACAAGUGUCCAGUUCG
rnacentral:rRNA from 1 species